UUAACAGAGGUGUUACAAACUCCCAAAGACCAGCCAGAUCGCCGAGAGAGGAAAGAGAUGACAACGAAAAGAGUCGCAGUUCAUUGAGACCAAGAGAAACGUAAAGAAGAGAGGAAAGAGAAAACAAUGAUGUGAGAUCAAGAGGAAGACCGAGAGGAGAAGACCAGAGAUCAGGUAGUCAUGGACAGAGAAAAUCAGACCUCUCAGAGACGUCAAAGCACACAGAGCAGAAGCACACGUGAUGAAGAACAAGCAGACCACUGGAGUUUGAGUUCAAUCAGACCAAGACUGAGAAGAGAGGACAGAGAACAAG